AGAGUUUGAUCCUGGCUCAGAACGAACGCUGGCGGCAGGCCUAACACAUGCAAGUCGAACGCUCUAGCAAUAGAGAGUGGCGCACGGGUGAGUAACACGUGGGAAUCCACCUGAUAGUCUGGGAUAACAGCGGGAAACUGCUGCUAAUACCGGGUACGCCCUUAGGGGGAAAGAUUUAUCGCUAUCAGAUGAGCCCGCGUUAGAUUAGCUAGUUGGUGAGGUAAUGGCUCACCAAGGCUCCGAUCUAUAGCCGGUCUGAGAGGACGAUCGGCCACACUGGGACUGAGACACGGCCCAGACUCCUACGGGAGGCAGCAGUGGGGAAUAUUGGGCAAUGGACGCAAGUCUGACCCAGCCAUGCCGCGUGUGUGAUGAAGGCCUUAGGGUUGUAAAGCACUUUUAGUGGUGAAGAUGAUGACAGUGACCACAGAAAAAGCCCCGGCUAACUUCGUG
rnacentral:rRNA from 1 species